rnacentral:rRNA from 1 species
UUUUCUUUGAUCAAGAACGAAGGUCAGGGUAUCGAAGACGAUCAGAUACCGUCGUAGUCCUGACUGUAAACUAUGCCGACUGGGGUUCAAUGAUAAGAAAUAUGAUAUCGUUGGGAUCCAGAGAGAAAUCAAAGUUUUUGGGUUCUGGGGGAAGUAUGGUCGCAAGGCUGAAACUUGAAGGAAUUGACGGAAGGGCACCACCAGGCGUGGAGCUUGCGGCUUAAUUUGACUCAACGCGGGGAAACUUACCAGGUCAAAACAUGCGAAGGAUUGACAGGCUGAUAGUCCUUUCUCGAUUGCAUGGCUGGUGGUGCAUGGCCGUUCUUAGUUGGUGGACUGAUCUGUCUGGUUAAUUCCGGUAACGAACGAGACCUUGGCCUGCUAACUAGAUAGUGUACUUCUGUGCACUAAGCUUCUUAGAGGGACAAUGGUGGUUACAUCACUGAAGCUCAAGGUAAUAACAGGUCUGUUAUGCCCUUAGAUGUCCUGGGCCGCACGCGUGCUACACUGACACACUCAGCAAGCCACUUGGUCGGCAGAUCAAGUAAAUCAUCAAAGUGUGUCUUGUUAGGGACAGUUCCUUGUAAUUGUGGAGCUCUAACAAGGAAUGCCUAGUAAGUGCAAGUCAACAUCUUGUGCUGAUUACGUCCCUGCCCUCUGUACACACCGCCCGUCGCUCCUACCGAUUUCGAGUGAUUAGGUGAGUUCCUCGAACCGCAAGGAAAGAGAAACAAAUCUAACUACUUAGAGGAAGGAGAAGUCGUAACAAGGUUUCCGUAGGUGAACCUGCAGAAGGAUCAA